GAAAUGCGAUACGUAGUGUGAAUUGCAGAAUUUCGUGAAUCAUCGAAUCUUUGAACGCACCUUGCACUCUCUUUACGGAGAGUAUGCCUGUUUGAGUACCUGUUAAUUCAUCAAUCAAUCUUGAUUGGACGAUGGACGUCUUGAUCGCAAGGUCAAGUUGUCUGAAAAGCGUAUCUUUAUGAAAAAAGACCGAUACCGGUUGAAGUCAUGGAGAACAAAGUCGUUUAAAAGAGAGAUCUCUUUGCUGCGCUUUUUCUCUUUCAGCUUGUGUCGAGGACUUUUUUGAACUCUUGGUCUCAAAUCAGGUAGGAGAACCCGCUGAACUUAA
rnacentral:misc_RNA from 1 species